GGCAAGAUGGCCGAGUGGUCUAAGGCGUAGCAUUAAGGAAGAUUUCCUGGAUUGAUCUACGAAAACCUGCUAUCUUCGGGCGUGGGUUCGAAUCCCACUCUUGUCA
rnacentral:tRNA from 1 species